UCCCUGGUGGUCUAGUGGAUAAGGAUCCCACUCUCUCACCUCCGUGGCCCUGGUUCGAUUUCCGGGCAGGGAA